rnacentral:rRNA from 1 species
GACGUAGGGCGCAAGCGUUGUCCGGAUUUAUUGGGCGUAAAGAGCUCGUAGGCGGCUUGUCGCGUCGACUGUGAAAACCCGCGGCUUAACCCUGAGCUUGCAGUGGGUACGGGCAGACUAGAGUGCGGUAGGGGAGACUGGAAUUCCUGGUGUAGCGGUGAAAUGCGCAGAUAUCAGGAGGAACACCGGUGGCGAAGGCGGGUCUCUGGGCCGUAACUGACGCUGAGGAGCGAAAGCAUGGGGGAGCGAACAGG